CAGUCGCCGCGGUAAUACGUAGGUGGCAAGCGUUGUCCGGAAUUAUUGGGCGUAAAGGGCUCGCAGGCGGUUUCUUAAGUCUGAUGUGAAAGCCCCCGGCUCAACCGGGGAGGGUCAUUGGAAACUGGGAAACUUGAGUGCAGAAGAGGAGAGUGGAAUUCCACGUGUAGCGGUGAAAUGCGUAGAGAUGUGGAGGAACACCAGUGGCGAAGGCGACUCUCUGGUCUGUAACUGACGCUGAGGAGCGAAAGCGCGGGGAGCGAACAGGAUUAGAUACCCCCGUAGUCCCUGUCUUUUAUAC
rnacentral:rRNA from 1 species